GGCCUCAACUUGACAGUUUUGGAA
rnacentral:siRNA from 1 species